GACGAACGCUGGCGGCGUGCCUAAUACAUGCAAGUAGAACGCUGAAGGAGGAGCUUGCUCUUCUGGAUGAGUUGCGAACGGGUGAGUAACGCGUAGGUAACCUGCCUGGUAGCGGGGGAUAACUAUUGGAAACGAUAGUUAAUACCGCAUAACAGUAGAUGUUGCAUGACAUUUACUUAAAAGGUGCAAUUGCAUCACUACCAGAUGGACCUGCGUUGUAUUAGCUAGUUGGUGGGGUAACGGCUCACCAAGGCGACGAUACAUAGCCGACCUGAGAGGGGGAUCGGCCACACUGGGACUGAGACACGGCCCAGACUCCUACGGGAGGCAGCAGUAGGGAAUCUUCGGCAAUGGACGGAAGUCUGACCGAGCAACGCCGCGUGAGUGAAGAAGGUUUUCGGAUCGUAAAGCUCUGUUGUAAGAGAAGAACGAGUGUGAGAGUGGAAAGUUCACACUGUGACGGUAUCUUACCAGAAAGGGACGGCUAACUACGUG
rnacentral:rRNA from 1 species